GGAGGCGCGAUACGAGCCCGUGGGAGCCUCCCCAACCCCGCAGUCCCAGCGGCAAACUGUGCUUGGUCGGACGGAUGCCCGCGCGGAGGGUGGCCACGGGGAGUGCCUCCGCCCAUGACAGCAGUGUGCGGAAAGCUGACCUGGAGCUGGGAAGCCAGGAGAAGGCACGUGGGGCUCCACCUAAAUAAACCCCAAAAAGACAGCUCCAGUGAGGGCCCAACAAACCUGAGACCAGAUCCAUUUCUAGAGACUUCCUGUUGAAGAACAAGACAGAGGAAAAUUCCUGGGUUGAGUCCCUCUGAAAAAUCAACAGGGCAACAGGUUUCUUCUUUGUGGUACUACUCUGGCAUCCGAAAGGAGGCCUGGUUGGCAGAGGCUUGGAAAGGGAGAGGAGGGUUGAGGUGAUGAGGUCAGAGGAGGAGGUGAGGAAGGGACUCAUGUUGAAUUUUAUUCAACAUGGAACUGGAGGCCUUUUCUGGAAUUAGAAAGACUGCUUCUGCCACCCAGUCACUUCCCAAACUGAGGUGGCAGGGAUGGUGUGGAUGGCAGUGGGGUCGGGGGUAGUGUCAAGCCUGUUUCUCCCAAGUUGAAGGGAGGAGGAAGGCAGGAGCCUCAAGCCCUGUCUUAAUUCAGAGCACUUUGAAAAGUAUGUAUUUUUUUCUUAUUUCCAUAACAAUACACUUGUUGAGAAAAAUUAAAAAUUUCACAAAAGCAUAAAAAGAGAAUAUCUCCUGCAGUGCACACCUAAGAUGGAAUUGAGUGCAGUGCACACAUUGCCUAUGUGACAAGAAGCUGAGCACGGGCAACCAGGAGCUGGGUUUGGGGCAGGGGGAAGAGGGUAAGGGAUGGGACACAUGUACUUUUUCAUUUAUAUCCUUGUCUAUUGUUUGAAUCUUUAUCAGGAAAGUGUAAAAUAAAACCAAGUUAAAAUAGCAUAUACUACAACAUUUUUUCUCUUUUUCUUCCUUCCUUCCUUCCUUCCUUCCUUCCUCCUU